AGUGGCGAACGGGUGAGUAAUGCAUCGGAACGUACCGUGUAGUGGGGGAUAACGUAGCGAAAGUUACGCUAAUACCGCAUACGCCCUGAGGGGGAAAGUGGGGGACCGCAAGGCCUCACGCUAUAUGAGCGGCCGAUGUCGGAUUAGCUAGUUGGUAGGGUAAAGGCCUACCAAGGCGACGAUCCGUAGCGGGUCUGAGAGGAUGAUCCGCCACACUGGGACUGAGACACGGCCCAGACUCCUACGGGAGGCAGCAGUGGGGAAUUUUGGACAAUGGGCGCAAGCCUGAUCCAGCCAUGCCGCGUGAGUGAAGAAGGCCUUCGGGUUGUAAAGCUCUUUCAGACGGAAAGAAAUCUCUCGGGAUAACACCCUGGGAGGAUGACGGUACCGUAAGAAGAAGCACCGGCUAACUACGUGCCAGCAGCCGCGGUAAUACGUAGGGUGCGAGCGUUAAUCGGAAUUACUGGGCGUAAAGCGUGCGCAGGCGGUGAUGUAAGACAGAUGUGAAAUCCCCGGGCUCAACCUGGGAACUGCGUUUGUGACUGCAUCACUCGAGUACGGCAGAAGGGAAGGUGGAAUUUCCGCGUGUAGCAGUGAAAUGCGUAGAUAUGCGGAGGAACACCGAUGGCGAAAGGCAGCCUCCUGGGCCAGUACUGACGCUCAUGCACGAAAGCGUGGG
rnacentral:rRNA from 1 species